rnacentral:rRNA from 1 species
AUUGAACGCUGGCGGCAGGCCUAACACAUGCAAGUCGAACGAGUGGCGGACGGGUGAGUAAUGUCUGGGAAACUGCCCGAUGGAGGGGGAUAACUACUGGAAACGGUAGCUAAUACCGCAUACCAUCGGAUGUGCCCAGAUGGGAUUAGCUAGUAGGUGGGGUAAAGGCUCACCUAGGCGACGAUCCCUAGCUGGUCUGAGAGGAUGACCAAGCACCCUGGAACCUGGAAACGGUCCCGAACCCUACGGGGGGCAGCAGUGGGGAAAAUUGCACAAGGGGCGCAAGCCUUAUGCAGCCCUGCCGGUUUGAUGAAGAAGGCCUUCGGGUUGGAAAGUACUUUCAGCGGGGAGGCGUUACCCGCAGAAGAAGCACCGGCUAACUCCGUGCCAGCAGCCGCGGUAAUAC